CAGCCGCCGCGGUAAUACGGAGGGUGCAAGCGUUAAUCGGAAUUACUGGGCGUAAAGCGCACGCAGGCGGUCUGACAAGUCAGAUGUGAAAUCCCCGGGCUUAACCUGGGAACUGCAUUUGAAACUGUCAGGCUGGAGUCUUGUAGAGGGGGGUAGAAUUCCAGGUGUAGCGGUGAAAUGCGUAGAGAUCUGGAGGAAUACCGGUGGCGAAGGCGGCCCCCUGGACAAAGACUGACGCUCAGGUGCGAAAGCGUGGGGAGCAAACAGGAUUAGAUACCCGCGUAGUCCCUGUCUCUUAUAA
rnacentral:rRNA from 1 species